GAUGAACGCUGACAGAAUGCUUAACACAUGCAAGUCAACUUGAAUUUGGGUUUUUAACUUAGAUUUGGGUGGCGGACGGGUGAGUAACGCGUAAAGAACUUGCCUCACAGCUAGGGACAACAUUUAGAAAUGAAUGCUAAUACCUGAUAUUAUGAUUUUAAGGCAUCUUAGAAUUAUGAAAGCUAUAUGCACUGUGAGAGAGCUUUGCGUCCCAUUAGCUAGUUGGAGAGGUAACAGCUCACCAAGGCGAUGAUGGGUAGCCGGCCUGAGAGGGUGAACGGCCACAAGGGGACUGAGACACGGCCCUUACUCCUACGGGAGGCAGCAGUGGGGAAUAUUGGACAAUGGACCGAGAGUCUGAUCCAGCAAUUCUGUGUGCACGAUGAAGUUUUUCGGAAUGUAAAGUGCUUUCAGUNGGGAAGAAAAAAANGA
rnacentral:rRNA from 1 species